UACGUAGGGGGCAAGCGUUGUCCGGAAUUAUUGGGCGUAAAGAGCGCGUAGGCGGCCCGCUAAGUCGAACGUGAAAUCCCCGAGCUCAACUCGGGAACUGCGUCCGAUGACUGGGGGGCUUGAAUCCGGGAGAGGGAUGCGGAAUUCCAGGUGUAGCGGUGAAAUGACGUAGAUAUCUGGAGGAACACCGGCGGCGAAGGCGGCAUCCUGGACCGGCAUUGACGCUGAGGCGGCGAAAAGCUGAGGGGAGCAAACGGGG
rnacentral:rRNA from 1 species